AGGGUUACCUGGGAAAAUAGGACUCCAAUUGUUUGCGUGUGGAGAAAGAGAGAGGAGAGAGAGAGAGAGAGAGAGAGAGAGAGAGAGAAAGACCCAUGCCAUGGGUUUCAGACUUAUCAGCCCCCACAAUCACAUGAGCCAAUUCCUUAAAGUAAAUCAAUCAAUCCCCCCAUCUCUCUCUCUCUCUCUCUCUCUCUCUCUCUCUCUCUCUCUCUCUCUCUCUCCACACACACACACAUACACACCACCACCUCUCUCAAUUGGGG
rnacentral:sRNA from 1 species